UGCCAGCCGCCGCGGUAAUACUGAAGGUGCAAGCGUUAAUCGGAAUCACUGGGCGUAAAGCGCUCGUAGGUGGCUUUGUAAGUCAGAUGUGAAAGCCCACGGCUCAACCGUGGAAUUGCAUUUGAUACUGCAUCGCUAGAGUAUAGAGGGAAGUGGAAUUUCUGGUGUAGGAGUGAAAUCCGUAGAGAUCAGAAGGAACACCGGUGGCGAAGGCGGCCAACUGGACGAGUACUGACGCUGAGGUACGAAAGCGUGGGGAUCAAACAGGAUUAGAUA
rnacentral:rRNA from 1 species